ensembl:lncRNA
CGGAUGUAUUUUCUGCUCUAACGGAGCCGUCUUGGAAAUAAAACAAACCAAACAUUGUCAUUGUUAGACCCGGAGACAUUCGGUGCUCACUGCUCAAUUUCAAAUAGAACACUAACUGUCCGCGCCAAGUGUAUUUGACUACACCACCAAUUGGCGCCCUAAAUACUACAUUCUCAUUGGGCGUCGAUUUGCAGCCGCACACUGAUUGGAUGGCCGUUAUAAACUUGCUAUUUUCAAAUUUUGGUUCUAGCCUUGGAUCUUCUUAAAUAGUUAGUCGUUGGAGCUAGUCAACAACAAUAAUUAUUAAAAUAUGCCACCAGUAAAGAAAAGAAAACACAAGUCCUACUUAUUGGACAUCAAUAACCCCCAAAAACCAAGAUCAACAGAAUACAGACACAUACAGACAAAGGGAAGAGGACGUAAACCGUACAAGCAGUACAUUUACAGUAGUGAUGUUGGAGUCCCUAACAGAAUAUCAGUACAAAACCAAAGAGAACCUCCAGUUCACCAUAAUGAUACUCCAUUGCAACCACCAGCAGGAAAACGAAAGAGAGCUGACAGUCAGGAUGGGACAGCUGGAGCAGGUGGUGAAGCUGUAGGAGGACACUAGG